rnacentral:rRNA from 1 species
GCAUAUCAAUAAGCGGAGGAAAAGAAACUAACAAGGAUUUCCCCUAGUAACUGCGAAGUGAAGCGGGAAAAGCUCAAAUUUAAAAUCUGGCAGUCUUUGAUUGUCCGAGUUGUAAUCUGGAGAAGCGUCUUCUGCGCUGGACCGUGUACAAGUCUCUUGGAACAGAGCGUCAUAGAGGGUGAGAAUCCCGUCUUUGACACGGACUACCAGUGCUUUGUGAAACGCUCUCAAAGAGUCGAGUUGUUUGGGAAUGCAGCUCAAAAUGGGUGGUAAAUUCCAUCUAAAGCUAAAUAUUGGCGAGAGACCGAUAGCGAACAAGUACCGUGAGGGAAAGAUGAAAAGCACUUUGGAAAGAGAGUUAAACAGUACGUGAAAUUGCUGAAAGGGAAACGCUUGAAGUCAGUCGCGUCUGCUAGUACUCAGCCUUCCUUCUGGUUGGUGCAUUUACUAGUUGACGGGCCAGCAUCAGUUUUGGUCGCGGGAUAAAGGUCAGAGGAAUGUGGCACCUUCGGGUGUGUUAUAGCCUCUGGUCAUAUACCGUGGCUGGGACUGAGGAUCUCAGCACGCCUUUAUGGCGGGGGUUCGCCCACCUUCGUGCUUAGGAUGCUGGCGUAAUGGCUUUAAACGACCCGUCUUGAAACACGGACCAAGGAGUCUAACAUGCCUGCGAGUGUUUGGGUGGAAAACCCGAGCGCGUAAUGAAAGUAAUAGUUGGGAUCCCUGUCGUGGGGAGCACCGACGCCCGGACCAGACCUUCUGUGACGGAUCCGCGGUAGAGCAUGUAUGUUGGGGACCCGAAAGAUGGUGAAACUAUGCCUGAAUAGGGUGAAGCCAGAGGAAACUCUGGUGGAGGCUCGUAGCGAUUCUGACGUGCAAAUCGAUCGUCAAAUUUGGGUAUAGGGGGCGAAAGACUAAUCGAAACUAUCUAGUAGCUGGGUUCUGCGA